rnacentral:rRNA from 1 species
CUACGGGCCGCACCAGUGGGGAAUAUUGGACAAUGGGGGAAACCCUGAUCCAGCAAUGCCGCGUGGAGGAUGACGCAUUUCGGUGUGUAAACUCCUUUUAUAUGUCAAGAAAAUGACGGUAGCAUAUGAAUAAGCACCGGCUAACUCCGUGCCAGCAGCCGCGGUAAUACGGAGGGUGCAAGCGUUACUCGGAAUCACUGGGCGUAAAGGACGCGUAGGCGGGCUUGUAAGUCAGGUGUGAAAUCCUACAGCUUAACUGUAGAACUGCACUUGAAACUACGAGCCUAGAGUAUGGGAGGGGGAGAUGGAAUUAGUGGUGUAGGGGUAAAAUCCGUAGAUAUCACUAGGAAUACCUAAAGCGAAGGCGAUCUCCUGGAACAUAACUGACGCUAAGGCGUGAAAGCGUGGGGAGCAAACAGGAUUAGAUACCCCCGUAGUC